UACGUAGGCAGCGAGCGUUGUCCGGAUUUACUGGGCGUAAAGAGCUCGUAGGCGGUUUGUUGCGUCGGCCGUGAAAACCUGCAGCUUAACUGUGGGCCUGCGGCCGAUACGGGCAGACUUGAGUUCGGUAGGGGAGACUGGAAUUCCUGGUGUAGCGGUGAAAUGCGCAGAUAUCAGGAGGAACACCGGUGGCGAAGGCGGGUCUCUGGGCCGAUACUGACGCUGAGGAGCGAAAGCGUGGGGAGCGAACGG
rnacentral:rRNA from 1 species